rnacentral:rRNA from 1 species
GAGUUUGAUCAUGGCUCAGGAUGAACGCUAGCGGCAGGCUUAACACAUGCAAGUCGAGGGGCAGCACGGGUAGCAAUACCUGGUGGCGACCGGCGGAAGGGUGCGUAACGCGUGAGCAACAUGCCCUAUACAGGGGAAUAAACCAGGGAAACUUGGUCUAAUGCCCCAUAGCAAUAAGAUAAGGCAUCUUAUUUUAUUUAAAGCUUCGGUGGUAUAGGAUUGGCUCGCGUGACAUUAGCUGGAUGGUGGGGUAACGGCCCACCAUGGCGAUGAUGUCUAGGGGUUCUGAGAGGAAGACCCCCCACACUGGGACUGAGACACGGCCCAGACUCCUACGGGAGGCAGCAGUGAGGAAUAUUGGACAAUGGAUGGAAAUCUGAUCCAGCCAUGCCGCGUGCAGGAAGACGGCCCUAUGGGUUGUAAACUGCUUUUCUACGGGAGCAAUAAGGUCUACGCGUAGACUGAUGAGAGUACCGUAGGAAUAAGCAUCGGCUAACUCCGUGCCAGCAGCCGCGGUAAUACGGAGGAUGCGAGCGUUAUCCGGACUUAUUGGGUUUAAAGGGUGCGUAGGCGGCUUUUUAAGUCAGCGGUGAAAUUUUGCAGCUUAACUGUAACAGUGCCGUUGAUACUGGGGAGCUAGGAUUUGGUUGCUGUGGGUGGAAUGUGUGGUGUAGCGGUGAAAUGCUUAGAGAUCACACAG